GCUUGAUUCUCCAGGCCAUAUAAUAAAAUCGGAAUGAUAGGGAGUGGAUUAGCACUGGCCUUGCACAAAGAUGAUAAACAAAUUCAUGGAGCAUUUCAUAUUUGC
ensembl:snRNA U6 U6 spliceosomal RNA